CCCGUGUGCCCCCCCCACCAGACCAGUUCCCAUAGGACUACUGUAGCAUAGCUAUAUGUUGUCCAUGCAGCUAACCUGUUCUCAGUUAAUCAGGAGCAAAUCUAAUAUCGUCCCUGUUAGAAAAGGAAGGUUGUCCAGCCCUCCCUGUAUGGAGUCUGUUCUGAUGAGGAAGGUUGUCCAGCCCUCCCUGUAUGGAGUCUGUUCUGAUGAGGAAGGUUGUCCAGUCCUCCCUGUAUGAAGUCUGUUCUGAUGAGGAAGGUUGUCCAGUCCUCCCUGUAUGAAGUCUGUUCUGAUGAGGAAGAUUGUCCAGUCCUCCCUGUAUGAAGUCUGUUCUGAUGAGGAAGGUUGUCCAGUCCUCCCUGUAUGAAGUCUGUUCUGAUGAGGAAGGUUGUCCAGUCCUCCCUGUAUGGAGUCUGUUCUGAUGAGGAAGGUUGUGCAGUCCUCCCUGUAUGGAGUCUGUUCUGAUGAGGAAGGUUGUGCAGUCCUCCCAGUAUGAAGUCUGUUCUGAUGAGGAAGGUUGUGCAGUCCUCCCUGUAUGAAGUCUGUUCUGAUGAGGAAGGUUGUCCAGUCCUCCCUGUAUGAAGUCUGUUCUGAUGAGGAAGGUUGUCCAGUCCUCCCAGUAUGAAGUCUGUUCUGAUGAGGAAGGUUGUCCAGUCCUCCCUGUAUGAAGUCUGUUCUGAUGAGGAAGGUUGUCCAGUCCUCCCUGUAUGAAGUCUGUUCU
rnacentral:lncRNA from 1 species